AGGGCAGAGGGAAAGGGGGGCUGCUGAGACAGGGGUUUCAACGCCCAAAGGGCCCUGCCAUUGCAUUCCUGUCCUCAUGCUGUUCAAAAGGUUUUCAUAAAAUUAUUUUUUCUAUCACGCUUUUGAUAGCCAAACAUCUCCUUUAUUCUCAGUAAAACAAAUAGAACAGAGGAGCCCAACAUGCAGCGAAGUUAAACCAAUUGCCCGAAUCCUUCCGCUGGUCAGCGGUGGGGCCCAAAUUCCACCUCAGACCCUGCUCCUUUCCUUUCUUGAGUGAUUGUCGCUGCAGCCCCGAGGUAAGGGAGGUGGCCUCACUUUACAGGGAGAAAGCCGAGGCCCUGAGCAGGUGGAAGCUGGCUGUGAGUCAUGUGGCUGCGCGGGGCUCGGAUCCCAUGGCUCUUCUGUGACGACCUGCAGGGCCAGUUCCUUCACUCACCGAGAGUUCUUAAGGCCUCUCUGAGUCAGAGGACUCCUACUUAAUACCGGUUUCGGCCCGCUGACCUAUUAUUAUUUUUUUCCCCUCUGAGCAUCCGGAAAGGGCUGGCGUGGUGCAGCGGCAGAGACCUGGGCCUGCAAGAGGAAGAGAAUCGCCUGAGGACACAGGAGCGGGGACGGGAGCCAGGCUUUGAGUCAGUCCUCCCUCUCCUGGGCAAGCCAUGGAUCAUCCUGCCCAGCACUUCUCGUCCUUGACGGCUGAGUUCUGAAGGGAGGAAGGCAAGACCCGAAGAGACAGAUGGACACUCCCAGGAUGACACAGUUCACAGCAAGGCCAAGAUGCAAAUUAAUCUCCUAACUCUCAUUACAACAGCUUCUACUUUU
rnacentral:lncRNA from 1 species